UUGAAUUUUGCAACUAUGUAUUCAUUUUGUGUCAUGAAAUCUCUCACAGCUUUUCUUUUCCUUUUUAUGAUACAUGCUUUCUAAAUUAUUGCUUCUAAUAUUUGCCUUAGAUUAACUUUCUGGAUUUUUUUUAUGAUUUUUAUUCAUUUGCCCAAUCUCAAAGAGCAUCUUCAAUGAACCUAACCUCCCUUAUUAGGCCUUUUCAAUUAUUUUACUUUUAACUCCCCAUGUUUGUUCUAACUAUCAUGAUCCUAAGUUCUAAUUCUUUCUUGAUGAUCUUAGACAAAUAUACUUAGAAGAAUGUCUUGUAUGGGUAUGUUUAUAAAACACACAGAGAGAGGUUUCAUUUUGUUAUUGCUCAUUUUGAAUAUGUGUCUCUGCUAGCAACUUUGACCGAGGUCAAAAUUAUGUGCUCAAGUGAUAUGCAUUUAAAUCUGGAUGAGAAAUAAUUAUAGCAAUAGGCCUGCUAGUAUGAAGCUUGUAAAUACAUGGGUCUGCAAGCUAUAUCUAGUAUAGAUGUUUGUAUAGGGCCGAUCUACUUUUUAGCAUUUGUUAGUUAUUUUUCUACAUCUGUUAUUCAUUAUACUAUCUUUCCCCACUCAGUCCCUAUGUCAUCUGAGUUUUUUUUCUCCCUAAUGUUGUUGUGGCAACAUUUCUACAGGCAAAGUACGGGGACAUGCUCAGGCGGUUCAAUGCCCAAAUUGUUGACAAGGAACUGUAUCUUAAUUUUGAUGGACUGAGAGAGAAGAUCUGUUCAUUAUUCAAUUUUGUUCCUGAUACUGAGUUCACACUUACCUAUAUUGAUGAAGAUGGUGAUGUGGUGACGAUUGUUAAUGAUGAUGAUCUGCAUGAUGUGGUAAGGCAGGCCCUGAACCCCUUAAGGAUUACUGUGAAGGUGACUGAGCAGAAUGGCAGAGAAUAUGCUCGUUCAAGUGGGAGUUCAAUUCCCUUGAGAUUGCCUAGAGUUCAGCAACCCUUCCGAAAGCUGAACGCAAACGUCUCUGAAAUUUUGAAAUCUGUGCCAGAGCCUCUAUGUGAAACUCUCUUGAAGCUUUCAACUGAGUUGUCAUCUAAAACCUCCUCCUCUGCACCAGGUAUUGCCGAACUUGCUGUAUACUUCUCAAAGAUAGGUUUGUCCUACCUAGAUCAGCUUUCAGAGUCCAAAUCUGAAGUGCAGUCUUGUACACCAAGCGAGGUUCCUGAAAGCUCCUCAGCCGCAAGAGAAACCAAAGAUUUGAAUUCCUCCAAGCCUGAAGAGUGUUCUUUGAGAAUCAAUGAGGGCUUGCCAAAAUUUAAACCUGGGGGAGCCUUGGGAAACAAUGAGCUGAAACCGGGAAAUACAAUUGCAAGUAGCACAGACCCCUUACCUUUGGAAGUACCUGGCCUCAAAGCUGUAGAUGCAGCAAUUGGCUCUCUGAAUUUUGAUGUUGGAUACCCCAACAAUGAAUCUCUGCACGAAUCAUCACACCUGGAUCCUAAACCAAGGGUUGUGGCUGCUACUGUUGAUAAGAAGAAAAAGUUGAAGAAGAUUAUUCAAUGUUACGAAGAGGCUCCUUUGGCAUCAUCUAGUCCGCCACUUGUUGCAAAUGAUGUUCCUAUUCAAAAGGGGGUUGAUAAGCCUAGUGAGCCUCAGGUUGGACCAAAGCCUUCUAAUGUGGGUUCUUCCACUGGUAAUGCUGAUCCUACGAAAUGGGGCCAUCCAGUUGGUGGGAUAAAUUAUUUAGUAGAGAGUGGUUCUGAGAACUCUCCAGUCUCACAGUUUGGUCGUGGUUCUCUUAACAAGUCUCCACUUUUUGGAAUGCCUCUACGAAAUGAUUCAGCUGCCCCCCCAUAUUCCAGCAUCCCACCAUUAAUGAGCAUUAUUCAGAAUGAUGCCUCUGGGAGUAUUGUACAUUUGGGUGUUUCUUGCGAUGGUUGUGGGUCCCAUCCCAUAACUGGACCUAGGUUCAAGUCAAAAGUGUAAGAACUAAGACAGUGACCUUACUAACUUUCUGAUGAAUAUCUACAGAAUCUUUAUAUGUUAAACUGAUCAGUCUUUUAUUGCAGAAAAUAUAACUAUGAUCUGUGCCAAAUCUGUUUUCUUAAAAUGGGAAAUGUUUCUGAUUAUAUUAGAAUUGCUCAUGAGGGGGAUCAUCAGUACCCCACGUCUAUCAAGGAAUUGUAUGGCCAUGUAUGUAAAAUUCAUUGUCCUGUUUGUUUCUUUAUUAAGCAUUUAUCAUAUCUUUUAUUUGUUAAAUUUUAUUGCUCCUGUCUACUCUUAACACAGCAUGCUAAGGACCGGGUGAUCUUCAGUGGUUGCAAUGAUAGAAUGGGUAUAGCAAAGCUAGACAGUCGCUUCAUUCAGGAUGUGAAUAUUUUCGAUGAAACUGUGAUGGCCCCUUUGACUCCAUUUACCAAGAUUUGGCGGAUGGGGAACAUUGGUGCAUCGGCGUGGCCCCAAAAAACACAACUUGUUUGGACUGGGGGAGACAGAUUAAGUAAUGCAUUUCCGGUUGAAGUAGAGGUUGGUUAUCACCAUUUUUUUUUUUUGGAUGCAAGGGCUUAAUGUGUACCCCCCACCCCCCGGGUGUUUCUAGUGAAAAUUCUGCAAUUGAUUUUGGAUAUCUCUUGGGCUUUUGAUUUGUCUCUAAAACCCUUAAGUUAUUCUGUGGCAUACAGUAGAAAAUUGCUAGAUGCUGAGACUUCUCUGUUUUAUUCUUUCCUUUGUUAGUUACAAUUUUAGAAUUUGAAUUUUGCAACUAUGUAUUCAUUUUGUGUCAUGAAAUCUCUCACAGCUUUUCUUUUCCUUUUUAUGAUACAUGCUUUCUAAAUUAUUGCUUCUAAUAUUUGCCUUAGAUUAACUUUCUGGAUUUUUUUUAUGAUUUUUAUUCAUUUGCCCAAUCUCAAAGAGCAUCUUCAAUGAACCUAACCUCCCUUAUUAGGCCUUUUCAAUUAUUUUACUUUUAACUCCCCAUGUUUGUUCUAACUAUCAUGAUCCUAAGUUCUAAUUCUUUCUUGAUGAUCUUAGACAAAUAUACUUAGAAGAAUGUCUUGUAUGGGUAUGUUUAUAAAACACACAGAGAGAGGUUUCAUUUUGUUAUUGCUCAUUUUGAAUAUGUGUCUCUGCUAGCAACUUUGACCGAGGUCAAAAUUAUGUGCUCAAGUGAUAUGCAUUUAAAUCUGGAUGAGAAAUAAUUAUAGCAAUAGGCCUGCUAGUAUGAAGCUUGUAAAUACAUGGGUCUGCAAGCUAUAUCUAGUAUAGAUGUUUGUAUAGGGCCGAUCUACUUUUUAGCAUUUGUUAGUUAUUUUUCUACAUCUGUUAUUCAUUAUACUAUCUUUCCCCACUCAGUCCCUAUGUCAUCUGAGUUUUUUUUCUCCCUAAUGUUGUUGUGGCAACAUUUCUACAGGCAAAGUACGGGGACAUGCUCAGGCGGUUCAAUGCCCAAAUUGUUGACAAGGAACUGUAUCUUAAUUUUGAUGGACUGAGAGAGAAGAUCUGUUCAUUAUUCAAUUUUGUUCCUGAUACUGAGUUCACACUUACCUAUAUUGAUGAAGAUGGUGAUGUGGUGACGAUUGUUAAUGAUGAUGAUCUGCAUGAUGUGGUAAGGCAGGCCCUGAACCCCUUAAGGAUUACUGUGAAGGUGAACACUGAGCAGAAUGGCAGAGAAUAUGCUCGUUCAAGUGGGAGUUCAACUCCCUUGAGAUUGCCUAGAGUUCAGCAACCCUUCCGAAAGCUGAACGCAAACGUCUCUGAAAUUUUGAAAUCUGUGCCAGAGCCUCUAUGUGAAACUCUCUUGAAGCUUUCAACUGAGUUGUCAUCUAAAACCUCCUCCUCUGCACCAGGUAUUGCCGAGCUUGCUGUAUACUUCUCAAAGAUAGGUUUGUCCUACCUAGAUCAGCUUUCAGAGUCCAAAUCUGAAGUGCAGUCUUGUACACCAAGCGAGGUUCCUGAAAGCUCCUCAGCCGCAAGAGAAACCAAAGAUUUGAAUUCCUCCAAGCCUGAAGAGUGUUCUUUGAGAAUCAAUGAGGGCUUGCCAAAAUUUAAACCUGGGGGAGCCUUGGGAAACAAUGAGCUGAAACCGGGAAAUACAAUUGCAAGUAGCACAGACCCCUUACCUUUGGAAGUACCUGGCCUCAAAGCUGUAGAUGCAGCAAUUGGCUCUCUGAAUUUUGAUGUUGGAUACCCCAACAAUGAAUCUCUGCACGAAUCAUCACACCUGGAUCCUAAACCAAGGGUUGUGGCUGCUACUGUUGAUAAGAAGAAAAAGUUGAAGAAGAUUAUUCAAUGUUACGAAGAGGCUCCUUUGGCAUCAUCUAGUCCGCCACUUGUUGCAAAUGAUGUUCCUAUUCAAAAGGGGGUUGAUAAGCCUAGUGAGCCUCAGGUUGGACCAAAGCCUUCUAAUGUGGGUUCUUCCACUGGUAAUGCUGAUCCUACGAAAUGGGGCCAUCCAGUUGGUGGGAUAAAUUAUUUAGUAGAGAGUGGUUCUGAGAACUCUCCAGUCUCACAGUUUGGUCGUGGUUCUCUUAACAAGUCUCCACUUUUUGGAAUGCCUCUACGAAAUGAUUCAGCUGCCCCCCCAUAUUCCAGCAUCCCACCAUUAAUGAGCAUUAUUCAGAAUGAUGCCUCUGGGAGUAUUGUACAUUUGGGUGUUUCUUGCGAUGGUUGUGGGUCCCAUCCCAUAACUGGACCUAGGUUCAAGUCAAAAGUGUAAGAACUAAGACAGUGACCUUACUAACUUUCUGAUGAAUAUCUACAGAAUCUUUAUAUGUUAAACUGAUCAGUCUUUUAUUGCAGAAAAUAUAACUAUGAUCUGUGCCAAAUCUGUUUUCUUAAAAUGGGAAAUGUUUCUGAUUAUAUUAGAAUUGCUCAUGAGGGGGAUCAUCAGUACCCCACGUCUAUCAAGGAAUUGUAUGGCCAUGUAUGUAAAAUUCAUUGUCCUGUUUGUUUCUUUAUUAAGCAUUUAUCAUAUCUUUUAUUUGUUAAAUUUUAUUGCUCCUGUCUACUCUUAACACAGCAUGCUAAGGACCGGGUGAUCUUCAGUGGUUGCAAUGAUAGAAUGGGUAUAGCAAAGCUAGACAGUCGCUUCAUUCAGGAUGUGAAUAUUUUCGAUGAAACUGUGAUGGCCCCUUUGACUCCAUUUACCAAGAUUUGGCGGAUGGGGAACAUUGGUGCAUCGGCGUGGCCCCAAAAAACACAACUUGUUUGGACUGGGGGAGACAGAUUAAGUAAUGCAUUUCCGGUUGAAGUAGAGGUUGGUUAUCACCAUUUUUUUUUUUGUGCAUGGUUUCUAAUACCAGUUUGUGUAUAAUCAUCUCUUUUAUAUGGUCAGAUUCUUGUAUAAUUUUACACGUGUAUAGCAUUUGGUUUUUUUUGGCGUUUCUCAUAUUUUCUUCUACGUCUUUUUCUUCUAAAUGGUAGCAACUUGUUUGGUUAUGCUUCAUUUUCCGUUUCUACUUUUUGAUACUACUAAUUCUUAUUUCUUUUUGUCUGCAGUGAAGGAUGACACCUUGUCUUUGCAUGUAUCUUCUAUUAGUAUUAGUAGAUUUUUAUAAUAAUUAUCAUCAAAAGAAAAGAUUAAUCCUCGUGAUUUUUUUUCCAUCGCUAGAUUC
rnacentral:lncRNA from 1 species